rnacentral:rRNA from 1 species
UACGGGGGGGGUAAGCGUUGUUCGGAAUUACUGGGCGUAAAGGGCUCGUAGGCGGCCAACUAAGUCGGACGUGAAAUCCCUCAGCUUAACUGGGGAACUGCGUCCGAUACUGGAUGGCUUGGAUUUGGGAGAGGGAUGCGGAAUUCCAGGUGUAGCGGUGAAAUGCGUAGAUAUCAGGAGGAACACCGGUGGCGAAGGCGGGUCUCUGGGCCGAUACUGACGCUGAGGAGCGAAAGCGUGGGGAGCAAACAGG